GGCGAACGGGUGAGUAAAGCAUCGGAACGUGCCCGAUCGUGGGGGAUAACGCAGCGAAAGCUGCGCUAAUACCGCAUAAGAUCUACGGAUGAAAGCGGGGGACUCGCAAGAGCCUCGCGCGAACGGAGCGGCCGAUGUCAGAUUAGGUAGUUGGUGGGGUAAAGGCCCACCAAGCCGACGAUCUGUAGCUGGUCUGAGAGGACGACCAGCCACACUGGUACUGUUUCACGGCCCAGACUCCUACGGGAGGCAGCAGUGGGGAAUUUUGGACAAUGGGCGCGAGCGUGAUCCAGCCAUGCCGCGUGCAGGAAGAAGGCCU
rnacentral:rRNA from 1 species